rnacentral:rRNA from 1 species
UACGAAGGGGGCUAGCGUUGCUCGGAAUCACUGGGCGUAAAGCGCACGUAGGCGGCUUUCUAAGUCAGGGGUGAAAUCCUGGAGCUCAACUCCAGAACUGCCUUUGAUACUGGGAAGCUUGAGUCCGGGAGAGGUGAGUGGAACUCCGAGUGUAGAGGUGAAAUUCGUAGAUAUUCGGAAGAACACCAGUGGCGAAGGCGGCUCACUGGCCCGGUACUGACGCUGAGGUGCGAAAGCCAGGGGAGCAAACGGG